GCAUUUCCAGGCACUUCAUCAGGAGCUGCUCAAAUUCAGGGCCCUCUUAAAAAUACCCCUGCCAAGCCGAAUUCACUCAGUCAGAAGGAGGUCAUUUAAAGGCCGUAAACUGUUUCAUGGAGAACACAUCCCAACGUUACCACGAAGACCCGAUGCCCUCGUCAAGGAGGAACAGCUCAUUAGCAGAAAACUGCAACUUGAGGACUAUCUGAGGAAUAUAUUGAAAAGGCAUUUAUA